rnacentral:rRNA from 1 species
GACGAACGCUGGCGGCGUGCUUAACACAUGCAAGUCGAACGGAAAGGCCCUGCUUUUGUGGGGUGCUCGAGUGGUGAACGGGUGAGUAACACGUGAGUAACCUGCCCUUGACUUUGGGAUAACUUCAGGAAACUGGGGCUAAUACCGGAUAGGAGCUCCUGCUGCAUGGUGGGGGUUGGAAAGUUUCGGCGGUUGGGGAUGGACUCGCGGCUUAUCAGCUUGUUGGUGGGGUAGUGGCUUACCAAGGCUUUGACGGGUAGCCGGCCUGAGAGGGUGACCGGCCACAUUGGGACUGAGGUACGGCCCAGACUCCUACGGGAGGCAGCGGUGGGGAAUAUUGCACAAUGGGCGGAAGCCUGAUGCAGCAACGCCGCGUGCGGGAUGACGGCCUUCGGGUUGUAAACCGCUUUCGCCUGUGACGAAGCGUGAGUGACGGUAAUGGGUAAAGAAGCACCGGCUAACUACGUG